rnacentral:rRNA from 1 species
AGAACGAACGCUGGCGGCAGGCCUCAAACAUGCAAGUCUAGGGGAUGUAGCAAUACAUCACCGGCGGACGGGUGCGUAACACGUGGGAAUAUACCUUUCGGUACGGAACAACUGCGGGAAACUGCAGCUAAUACCGUAUACGUCCUUACGGAGAAAGAUUUAUCGCCGAAGGAUUAGCCCGCGUUCGAUUAGCUAGUUGGUGAGGUAAUGGCUCACCAAGGCGACGAUCGAUAGCUGUUCUGAGAGGAAGAUCAGCCACACUGGGACUGAGACACGGCCCAGACUCCUACGGGAGGCAGCAGUUGGGAAUCUUGGACAAUGGGGGAAACCCUGAUCCAGCCAUGCCGCGUGAGUGAUGAAGGCCUUCGGGUUGUAAAGCUCUUUUACCCGGGAAGAUAUGACUGUACCGGAGAAUAAGCUCCGGCUAACUUCGUGCCAGCAGCCGC